CCGACCUUAGCUCAGUUGGUAGAGCGGAGGACUGUAGAUCCUUAGGUCACUGGUUCAAAUCCGGUAGGUCGGA
rnacentral:tRNA from 1 species